GAGUUUUAUUGUGUGGACCUCCAGGCACAGGUAAAACACUGAUCGCCAGAGCAUUAGCUUGUGCUGCGUCAAAGGCUGGCCAGAAAGUCAGUUUUUAUAUGCGGAAGGGUGCUGAUGUCCUGAGCAAAUGGGUGGGCGAGGCUGAAAGACAGCUAAAAUUGUUAUUUGAAGAAGCUCAGAGGAACCAGCCUUCCAUCAUCUUCUUUGAUGAGAUUGAUGGACUUGCUCCUGUUAGGUCUAGCAAGCAAGAGCAGAUUCAUAACUCUAUUGUGUCAACUUUGCUGGCUUUGAUGGAUGGCCUUGACUCUCGAGGGCAAGUAGUCUUGAUUGGCGCAACCAAUCGGGUUGAUGCCAUUGAUGGAGCCUU
rnacentral:misc_RNA from 1 species